rnacentral:rRNA from 1 species
UACGGAGGAUCCAAGCGUUAUCCGGAAUCAUUGGGUUUAAAGGGUCCGUAGGCGGUUUUGUAAGUCAGUGGUGAAAGCCCAUCGCUCAACGGUGGAACGGCCAUUGAUACUGCAAGACUUGAAUUGUUGGGAAGUAACUAGAAUAUGUAGUGUAGCGGUGAAAUGCUUAGAGAUUACAUGGAAUACCAAUUGCGAAGGCAGGUUACUACCAACACAUUGACGCUGAUGGACGAAAGCGUGGGGAGCGAACAGG